rnacentral:lncRNA from 1 species
GUAUUAGAUACUGGAAGUCCGUUUAAUAUAUGCAAUUCGUUGCAAGGACUUCAGGUCAAUGAGAGAUUUGAAAACAGCGAGAGAUUCCUGAAUGUUGGAGAUGGAAGAUCUGUUCCAGUUCUAGCUUUAAAAAAUCUCAAACUUGUUUUCAAUUCUCAUGUAGUUGUCUUGAGUGAUUGUCACUAUUGUCUUACGUUCUUAUUGAAUGUAAUUUCCGUAGGCCUUUUGGCCAUGAACGGUUAUGAAUUUUAAUAAAGAAAUGUUCUUGUGAUAUCAUUAUAAAUGGUGUUACUGUAA